CAAGAUUCUCAUCUCUUCCCUCCUCCUGUGAACCCACCACAGGAGGGACUGAGAGAAAUAUCAGAUUUGUGUUUCCAAACCAGCUCUGGGUCUGAUGGGGGAUAAAACUGGGAGAUGAAAGAAACCAUGGGAAGGACUGCACUGAUUGAUGAAUGGGAAAAUAAAUAUAAAUAUAUUGCUUUUAUAAAUAAACUUUAGGUUUGCCAAUAAAUGAAAAUUUCAUGUUGAAAUAAAAUGUCUGAUAAAUGAAAUUAGACAUUGAGAGAUGAGAGAAACAGCGGGGAAGAAAAAACCCCUAAAUUCCAUAAGAAUUACAAAUUUUAAGAGAGGGUUGUACAUUAGAGGGGAGUCUUUGGUAUCAGGGAGUCUGAACCUCUCAAGCACCUCAGAAAUGGGAAAAAAGCCCCUAAAUUCCAUAAGAAUUAAAAUUUAAAGGGCAAGGUUAUACAUUAGAGGGGAAUCUUUGGUAUUUGGGGGAGUCUGUACCUCUUAAGUACCUCAGAAAUGGGGAAAAACCCCUAAAUUCUAUAAGAAUUAAAAAUUAAAGGGCAGGGUUAUACAAUAGAGGGGAAUCUUUGGGAUCAGGCAUUUUGGGGAGUCUGAACCUCUCAGGCACCUCAGAAAUGGGGAAAAACCCCUAAAUUCCAUAAGAAUGAAAAAUGAAAAGGGAGGGUUAUAAAUUAGAGGGGAAUCUUUGGGAUCAGGAGUUCUGGGGAGUCUGAACCUCUCAGAAAUGGGGAAAAGUCCCCAAAUUCCCUAAGAAUGAAAACUGAAAAGGGAGGGUUUAAUUAAAAAUUAAAAGGUGCAUUAGAGGGAUCAGCCCUGAGGUGCCACCCAAGGAGCUGAGGGCAAAGGGCAGGGUGGCAGGGGACAGUGCCAGGUGUCACACACAGGUGACAUGGAGAUGAGGGGACAGUCCCAGGUGUCACACACAGAGCUGAGUGAGAUGGGGACAGUCCCAAAGGUCACACACAGGUGGUGCCCAGGCGGUGACCAGGAGGUGCCCAAAGGGUGCCCAGGGGUUCCCAGGGGUGCCCAGCUGAAGCCCAGGGGGUGCCCAGGUGUACCCAGCUGUGCCCAGGCCAUGCCCAGGUUGUCCCCAGGUGAGUGCCCAGGGGGUGCCUGGUGGUGCCCAGGUGGUUCCCAGGCAGUGCCCUGGCAGUGCCCAGGUGGUGCCCAGAGGGUGCCCAGGGGUACCUUGGUGGUGCCCAGGUGAGGGCAGGGAUGCCCAGGGUG
rnacentral:lncRNA from 1 species